rnacentral:rRNA from 1 species
AUUGAACGCUGGCGGCAGGCCUAACACAUGCAAGUCGAACGAGUGGCGGACGGGUGAGUAAUGUCUGGGAAACUGCCCGAUGGAGGGGGAUAACUACUGGAAACGGUAGCUAAUACCGCAUACCAUCGGAUGUGCCCAGAUGGUAUUAGCUUGUAGGUGGGGUAACGGCUCACCUAGGCGACGAUCCCUAGCUGGUCUGAGAGGAUGACCAGCCAAACUGGACCUGAGCCACGGUCCAGACUCUUACGGGAGGCAGCAGUGGGGAAGAUCGCACAAGGGGCGCAAGCCUGAUGCAGCCAUGCCGCGUGUAUGAAGAAGGCCUGCGUGUUGUAAAGUACUUUCAGCGAGGAGGCGUUACUCGCAGAAGAAGCACCGGCUAACUCCGUGCCAGCCGCCGCGGUAAUAC